rnacentral:rRNA from 1 species
UACGUAGGGGGGCAAGCGUUGUCCGGAUUUAUUGGGCGUAAAGAGCGUGUAGGCGGCUUUACAGGUCCGUUGUGAAAACUCGAGGCUCAACCUCGAGACGCCGGUGGAAACCGUAAGGCUAGAGUCCGGAAGAGGAGACUGGAAUUUACGGUGUAGCGGUGAAAUGCGUAGAUAUCGUAAGGAAGACCAGUGGCGAAGGCGGGUCUCUGGACAGUUCCUGACGCUGAGGCACGAAGGCCAGGGGAGCAAACGGG